rnacentral:rRNA from 1 species
UGAGGAAUAUUGGUCAAUGGUCGCAAGACUGAACCAGCCAUGCCGCGUGCAGGAAGACGGUCCUAUGGAUUGUAAACUGCUUUUAUACAGGAAGAAACCCUCCCACGUGUGGGAGCUUGACGGUACUGUAGGAAUAAGGAUCGGCUAACUCCGUGCCAGCAGCCGCGGUAAUACGGAGGAUCCAAGCGUUAUCCGGAAUCAUUGGGUUUAAAGGGUCCGUAGGCGGUCUUAUAAGUCAGUGGUGAAAGCCCAUCGCUCAACGAUGGAACUGCCAUUGAUACUGUAAGACUUGAAUGCUUAGGAAGUAACUAGAAUAUGUAGUGUAGCGGUGAAAUGCUUAGAUAUUACAUGGAAUACCAAUUGCGAAGGCAGGUUACUACUAAGUGAUUGACGCUGAUGGACGAAAGCGUGGGGAGCGAACAGGAUUAGAUACCCUAGUAGUCCACGCCGUAAACGAUGGAUACUAGCUGUUCGGCGCAAGUUGAGUGGCUAAGCGAAAGUGAUAAGUAUCCCAUCUGGGGAGUACGCACGCAAGUGUGAAACUCAAAUGAAUUGACGGGGUCAUAGCUGUUUCCUG